UACCAGCACCCCGAGUGGUCGGGACGUUUAUUGGGCCUAAAGCAUCCGUAGCCGGUUCUACAAGUCUUCCGUUAAAUCCAACUGCUUAACAGGUGGGCUGCGGAAGAUACUAUAGAGCUAGGAGGCGGGAGGAGGCAAGCGGUACUCGAUGGGUAGGGGUAAAAUCCGUUGAUCCAUUGAAGACCACCAGUGGCGAAGGCGGCUUGCCAGAACGCGCUCGACGGUGGAGGAUA
rnacentral:rRNA from 1 species